GGGGAUGGACCGUAGCUCAGUGGUAGAGCAUCUGCCUCGCACGCAGAAGGUCCAAGGUUCAAUCCCCAGCAUCUCCA